rnacentral:rRNA from 1 species
GCAAGUCGAACGAUUAAAGCCCCUUCGGGGGUGUAUACAGUGGCGAAAGGGCGAGUAACGCGUUCCUACGUACCCCGAGGUCGAGGAUAGCCCAGGGAAACUUGGAGUAAUACUCGAUGUGGUGCUUCGGCAUCAAAGGCUUCGGUCGCCUUGGGAGCGGGGAACGUCUUAUCAGGUUGUUGGUGAGGUAACGGCUCACCAAGCCUAAGACGGGUAGCGGGUGUGAGAGCAUGGCCCGCCGCAUCGGGACUGAGACACUGCCCGGACUCCUACGGGAGGCUGCAGUAACGAAUCUUCCGCAAUGCGCGAAAGCGUGACGGAGCAAUGCCGCGUGCAGGAUGAAGCCUUUCGGGGUGUAAACUGCUGUCAGGGUUUAGCAACACAAUGUGCUGACCCAAAGGAAGGGCCGGCUAACUUCGUGCCAGCAGCCGCGGUAAUACGAAGGGCCCGAGCGUUAAUCGGAAUCACUGGGCUUAAAGCGUACGUAGGCGGACGCGCAGGCAUCUUGUGAAAUCCCUCGGCUCAACCGAGGAACUGCUUGGUGAACCGCGUGUCUUGAGGCAAGUAGGGGCUGUCGGAACGAUAGGUGGAGUGGUGAAAUGCGUUGAUAUCUAUCGGAACGCCGAAGGAGAAAUCAGGCAGCUGGGCUUGUUCUGACGCUGA